rnacentral:rRNA from 1 species
AUUGAACGCUGGCGGCAGGCUUAACACAUGCAAGUCGAGCGAGCGGCGGACGGGUGAGUAAUGUCUGGGAAACUGCCUGGUGGAGGGGGAUAACUACUGGAAACGGUAGCUGAUACCGCAUACCAUCAGAUGUGCCCAGAUGGGAUUAGCUGGUAGGUGGGGUAAUGGCUCACCUAGGCGACGAUCCCUAGCUGGUCUGAGAGGAUGACGAGCGGCACGGGAACUGAGACACGGUCCAUACUCCUACGGGAGGCAGCAGUGGGGAAUAUUGCACAAUGGGCGCAAGCAUGAUGCAGCGAUGCCGCGUGUGUGAAGAAGGCCUUCGGGUUGUAAAGCCGUUUCAGCGGGGAGGCGGUACUCGCAGAAGAAGCACCGGCUAACUCCGUGCCAGCAGCCGCGGUAAUAC